UGGGGAAUUUUGGACAAUGGGCGAAAGCCUGAUCCAGCAAUGCCGCGUGUGUGAAGAAGGCCUUCGGGUUGUAAAGCACUUUUGUCCGGAAAGAAAUCCUUGGCUCUAAUACAGUCGGGGGAUGACGGUACCGGAAGAAUAAGCACCGGCUAACUACGUGCCAGCAGCCGCGGUAAUACGUAGGGUGCAAGCGUUAAUCGGAAUUACUGGGCGUAAAGCGUGCGCAGGCGGUUUGCUAAGACCGAUGUGAAAUCCCCGGGCUCAACCUGGGAACUGCAUUCGUGACUGCAAGGCUAGAGUAUGGCAGAGGGGGUAGAAUUCCACGUGUAGCAGUGAAAUGCGUAGAGAUGUGGAGGAAUACCGAUGGCGAAGGCAGCCCCUGGGCCAAAUACUGACGCUCAUGCACGAAAGCGUGGGGAGCAAACAGGAUUAGAUACCCUGGUAGUCCACGCCCUAAAACGAUGUCAACUAGUUGUUGGGGAUUCAUUUCCUUAGUAACGUAGCUAACGCGUGAAGUUGACCGCCUGGGGAGUACGGUCGC
rnacentral:rRNA from 1 species